UACGUAGGGGGCAAGCGUUGUCCGGAAUUAUUGGGCGUAAAGAGCGUGUAGGCGGUCCGGUAAGUCGGCUGUGAAAGUCCAGGGCUCAACCCUGGGAUGCCGGUCGAUACUGCCGGACUAGAGUUCGGAAGAGGCGAGUGGAAUUCCCGGUGUAGCGGUGAAAUGCGCAGAUAUCGGGAAGAACACCAGUGGCGAAGGCGACUAUCUGGGCUGAAACUGACGCUGAGGCGCGAAGGCUAGGGGAGCAAACAGG
rnacentral:rRNA from 1 species